GAUGAACGCUGGCGGCGUGCCUAAUACAUGCAAGUCGAGCGAACAGACGAGGAGCUUGCUCCUCUGACGUUAGCGGCGGACGGGUGAGUAACACGUGGAUAACCUACCUAUAAGACUGGGAUAACUUCGGGAAACCGGAGCUAAUACCGGAUAAUAUAUUGAACCGCAUGGUUCAAUAGUGAAAGACGGUUUUGCUGUCACUUAUAGAUGGAUCCGCGCCGCAUUAGCUAGUUGGUAAGGUAACGGCUUACCAAGGCAACGAUGCGUAGCCGACCUGAGAGGGUGAUCGGCCACACUGGAACUGAGACACGGUCCAGACUCCUACGGGAGGCAGCAGUAGGGAAUCUUCCGCAAUGGGCGAAAGCCUGACGGAGCAACGCCGCGUGAGUGAUGAAGGUCUGCGGAUCGUAAAACUCUGUUAUUAGGGAAGAACAAAUGUGUAAGUAACUAUGCACGUCUGGACGGUACCUAAGCAGAAAGCCACGGCUAACUACGU
rnacentral:rRNA from 1 species